rnacentral:misc_RNA from 1 species
CUAUGCCCCUCCGCGCGUCCAGACUUCGCCAGCAGGACUCCCGAGUGGAUUUGCCGCACCUUUUCGCUCACUACCUUGCACACGCAUCCCCCUGAUCGCUCUUGCACGCAUUCGACAUUACCUACUCUCUAUCUCUAUACAACGUGUGGCUCUGUUCGGGACGCGGCACGCGUGACUAGCUCCUUUUACGCGAUCGCACAGACCGUCUACGAGCGCAGCCAGUUGCCCUCCUUAAACCCUUCAGCACCCCCUCAAAACCCAUCGCACGCAUAUACCUACCGUACCACUGAACCACCAUGGCUCCAUCCCCCCCCCCUGGAUAGGCCUUCGAUACAAGCGCGACAGCCAGCCGAACUUCAGGCGCACGAUCGGUACCGCCCCGACGACCGCGAAAUGGCCGUGACCCGCCAUCGCUUGUCCCACGAUGUGCUGAAACGCGGCCUCCCGUAGGCGUGCGUGAACAGUGUUUUCGAUAGCUCACUCCUAUUUCUCGGUGGCUUCUUCGGCUGGCAGCGCUGCCGUAUUGCCGCAUCUAGGACGUCGUUUCCGCGUGCCGUCACUGACAGCCCGUUCAUUCGGCGCGUCUUCACGCCAAUGGCGCCCUUUUCCCUGCUGAUCGUUACGCUCGCUCUUUCUGUCUUCCAGCUGGGCUUGCGACGAUCAGCGUUGAGCAGGAAGCACAUUCUUCUCCAAGAGCGGGUGCUUGCGUAUGGCGACAUUACCCUAGAAAGAAAAUCCUUCGCGAAGACACCAAAGUUGCCACCAGGGGUGCGGCAGCGAGGGUGCCGUUACAGUCGGCACAAGAGCGGUGCGGGUCUCUUUGUGCACGCACUUUGACGCGUGCUGACGUCUUCUUCCGUCCUCCCUCUUCCUCCCACUUCCCCCGCAUUAGUGGAGGCCCUCUUCUCAAUCUCUGCUGCCCCAAAUCACAGCAUGCUGAGGACACAAGCUUCCACUUGUUGACACACACAGGCGCGUACGCUCCUCUGGCUGCGGUAGAGAUGAGGGCGAGCACUGUUCUUCUUCGCUGCACCCCCCCCCCCCUCUAUCGUUCCGCUUCUCCAUUCCCAAGUGUUCUGUUGUUCUCAGCCGCCCUCUCCUCUCACUUUCUGCUUUGCUCUUUUGCUUUUUAUGCGGCUGCAUCACCGCGCGUUCUCUUUUGUUUCGUCGUUUGCCUUCGUUGUUGCUCCUUAUCACGAAAG